rnacentral:rRNA from 1 species
AGAACGAACGCUGGCGGCAUGCCUAAUACAUGCAAGUCGAACGAACUCUUCGGAGUUAGUGGCGCACGGGUGCGUAACGCGUGGGAAUCUGCCCCUUGGUUCGGAAUAACAGUUGGAAACGACUGCUAAUACCGGAUGAUGACGAAAGUCCAAAGAUUUAUCGCCCAGGGAUGAGCCCGCGUAGGAUUAGCUAGUUGGUGAGGUAAAGGCUCACCAAGGCGACGAUCCUUAGCUGGUCUGAGAGGAUGAUCAGCCACACUGGGACUGAGACACGGCCCAGACUCCGUACGGGAGGCAGCAGUAGGGAAUA